AACGAACGCUGGCGGCAGGCUUAACACAUGCAAGUCGAACGCCCCGCAAGGGGAGUGGCAGACGGGUGAGUAACGCGUGGGAACAUACCCUUUCCUGCGGAAUAGCUCUGGGAAACUGGAAUUAACACCGCAUACGCCCUACGGGGGAAAGAUUUAUCGGGGAAGGAUUGGCCCGCGUUGGAUUAGCUAGUUGGUGGGGUAAAGGCCUACCAAGGCGACGAUCCAUAGCUGGUCUGAGAGGAUGAUCAGCCACAUUGGGACUGAGACACGGCCCAAACUCCUACGGGAGGCAGCAGUGGGGAAUAUUGGACAAUGGGCGCAAGCCUGAUCCAGCCAUGCCGCGUGAGUGAUGAAGGCCUUAGGGUUGUAAAGCUCUUUCACCGAUGAAGAUAAUGACGGUAGUCGGAGAAGAAGCCCCGGCUAACUUCGUGCCAGCAGCAGCCGCCGUAA
rnacentral:rRNA from 1 species